rnacentral:pre_miRNA from 5 species
UAAAGUGCUGACAGUGCAGAUAGUGGUCCUCUCCGUGCUACCGCACUGUGGGUACUUGCUGC